rnacentral:misc_RNA from 1 species
GAUGAAGAACGUAGCGAAAUGCGAUAAGUAAUGUGAAUUGCAGAAUUCAGUGAAUCAUCGAAUCUUUGAACGCACAUUGCGCCCGCUGGUAUUCCGGCGGGCAUGCCUGUUCGAGCGUCAUUUCAACCCUCAAGCUCUCCGGAGUUUGGUGUUGGGGCGCCUGGGGCUUUUCGACCUCAGGGCCCUCAAGUCCAUCGGCGGGACCGCCAGGACACUGAGCGCAGUAGUAUUAUUUCGCUCGGUAGGAUCUUCCACGGCGGGUCGAUCUAGCCGCUAAACCCCCCAAUUCUCACCAAAGGUUGACCUCGGAUCAGGUAGGAAUACCCGCUGAACUUAAGCAUAUCAAUAAGCGGAGGA